CCUACGGGGGGCAGCAGUGGGGAAUAUUGCGCAAUGGGCGAAAGCCUGACGCAGCGACGCCGCGUGAGGGAUGAAGGUCUUCGGAUCGUAAACCUCUGUCAGCAGGGAAGCAAGGUCACUGUGCUAAUCAGCAGUGAAUUGACGGUACCUGGGGAGGAAGCUCCGGCUAACUACGUGCCAGCAGCCGCGGUAAUACGUAGGGAGCGAGCGUUGUCUGGAAUUACUGGGUGCAAAGGGAGCGUAGGCGGGGAUGCAAGUGGGUGGUCAAAAGUACCGGCUCAACUGGUAGUCGCACUCAAAACUGCAGCUCUUGAGUGAAGGAGAGGCAGGCGGAAUUCGUAGUGUAGCGGUGAAAUGCGUAGAUAUUAGGAGGAACACCAGUGGCGAAGGCGGCCUGCUGGGCUUUUACUGACGCUGAGGCUCGAAAGUGUGGGGAGCAAACAGGAUUAGAUACCCGUGUAGUC
rnacentral:rRNA from 1 species